UAGAAUAUCAGGCAAAACCUCUGAAAAGUGGUGACGCAAAGCUAUAGGGACUACUUCUUAACCGAGAAAUGUCAGCCAGUUGCAACC
rnacentral:ncRNA from 1 species